ACUGUGUGUGCACCCCCAACCCCAGAUUAUUCCACACAGCUUUUUCUGACGGCUUGCUUCUCAGAACAGGGUUUAGAUCACCAGCCCACCUGACUCCAUAAUGAAUGGCUUUUUUUUUCUGGGUUAUUUGUGAUAGUCUAGGACAAGUCCACAAUCAUCAUCAUCAAUCAUCAUCAUCAGGCUAUGCAGAAGUACUAUAGUUGGAAAUAAAUGGGUGAUAGUAUUAGGUUUACUUCUUUCCAAGUCUCGGGGAUACAUAAAGUUAAUUUCUGAUUCUUUAGACAAGAUGUAGGGAGAAUGUAAGAUUUCAAGUCAAGUUAGUUUAGCUAGCAACUCAUGUUGCCCAGACUGGCCUAUAAUUCAAUGUGUAGCCCAAGGUGACCUGAUCCUCCUGCCUCCAUUUCCCAAAUGCAAAGAUUACAGAUGCGUGCCACCACUCCCUGCUCCAGUGGCUGAAGAUGGGACCCACAGCUUUUUGAAUGCUAGCCAGCUUUCUACCUGACAGCCGCAGCCUAAGCUAUUUAUAUAAUGUCAUCAUUGGGCAUAAAGAAGUCAUGCUGUUCCACACCUGUCUCCAGGAAGGCCUGUUGGACCUGAUUUUCCUCUCCGACUUGGAAAGAAGCCAUGCAGUUGCUGUACCGCCAUGGCGAAGCAGCUUGGGCUGGAAUUGCUUUUCUGGAUCCGAGGCUGCCUUAGCUUUUUCCUGUGCUGCAUCAGCCUCAUAGCAACACAGAAGCUGUACUGCGCAAACGAUCCUGAGUGAGUUUCACUGGGAGUGUCAGGCCCGUGCCCUGUCAUCUCGUUGGCUUGUGCUUUCUGUCACAAGGGAGGCACUUAAUGAGUGUAGCCUCUGUAUUCCUACAAGAGUAAGACUACAGUUACCUCCCUCUCUCUGCCCUCAGCCUCGCCCCCCCCCUCCACUUCUUUUGUUCUUUCUUUUUCUUCCUUCUUCCCUUCCCCUUCCUGCUCCUCCUCUGUUUUGACAUAAAGUCUUAGUACAUGACCAUGAUUGGCCUCGAGAGCAUGGCAGUCCUCCUGCAUCAGCCUCUGAAUGCUGGGAUGAUAGACGCGCUCUACUGCAUCCAGGAGCUGUUCCUUGUUAUUUUGCAAGAUGUGUAUAGAGGGUAUGGACCUACUCUACUCAUAUAUACACAUGCACACACACACAUAUAAACAUAUACAUAUAUACACAUACAUACACAUGUGUGUCACCAAUCUUCUUGAGAGUUACUUUUCAAUUUAAGAUGCAAUUAAUAUAUGUUAGGGAUAGGUUUGAAUAUGGUUUAUUUCCUCUCAAGAGAAAUGUGAAAUUCAGUCCCUCCCUCUCCCGUGAGCUAUUCAGAGGUAAAGUCACUUAAGAGGUGAUAAAAAGCAAAGCACCCAGGUAGUAUCAAUCCUCUUCCUCUUUUCUGCCUUCUCCUACGUUUCUUGUCCAGCUAUGAAACUCAUAUGCUUCAUGUAAGCUGGAGAGGUGGCUGUUGGUAUUGAAAUUUGAACACAAACCCUUCUGAAUCCAAAUGCUUUCUUCUAAUGAAUCUCAAAGAUUCGUCUCCCUAUUUACACACCACCAGAUUCCAUGAAGCAGAACGUGAACACAUUGGCCAUCCGUGCCGUCAUGAGUGGUGUGUGGGUGGGUGAUCCUGAGGGAUUUGCUAGGUUUCACACUUGCUUCCUGUCCUGGAUCUGCCCUAACCUCUGACCUACCUGAGACUCCGCCCCCAAGAGGGUGGUUACCAGAUACAGCCCCUCACUCACAGGGUUUGGUUAUGGUUUCAUUAGCAACAGAAGACAGCAUAAGUACAGGCUUUCCUAUGCCUGCCCCUGUCUUGAAAUAAUGACUUGGAGCUCUUUAUAUUUAUUAAUAAGCUUUAGGCAGCUUCUGAUCUAUUCUAAUCCUACAACGCUGGCUUGGACUACUUGUCAGCCUACUUCCAAGCCACAUGGCCUAUUACCUGCCAUCUUAGGCUUGCUCUGGCACCUCCCUCUCCAUUCCUGUCGGGGAUGGCGACACCCAGGUCCCACCUG
rnacentral:lncRNA from 1 species